UAGAAAAAAAAAAAAUUUGUGCAAAAAAAAAAAUAUGCAAUUCAUUGAUUAUGAAUAUAUAAAUAACAGCGGUAGUAUUAACAAUAGGAAUAAUAGUAAUAAUAAUAACAAUGAACAUAAUACAAUCAAAUUAGACCUUAGUUAUAAAAGGGAUGACUAUGACCAGAAUAGUAAAAAAAAAUACUAUUAUUAUCAUGACCAUGAUAGACAUAAAAACAAAAAAAAAGAAAACUACAAUAACAAUGGUAUAAAUAGUUAUGUAAAUAAUGAAAUAUACAAUAGAUACAAGUCAUCAUUUGGUAAUGCGUAUGAUGAUAAUAAUGAAGAAUAUAUAAAGUACCAAAGAGAUAACACCAGUUGUAGCAAAGUUUUAGACUUAUAUACUUAUAAAGAUGAACACACUGAUGAUCACGCUUAUAGCUGUGAUGUAGAAUUGAAGGUAGAAGAAGGAUCUGUGAAAAAUACAAAAAGAUAUAUCGUUAAUAAUAAUAAUUUUGAAAAAUGUGAUGCAGAAGUAAAAAUGGAACAAUAUUUGUAUCCUUAUUUGUGUAAUGCAUCAAACAGAAAUCAUAACACCUGUACUAACCGUACCAGACAGAAUAAUAAAAUAAAUGUAUCAUGCAUGUGUAAACAAAAAGAAAAAAAAAGAAAGUUAAUGAACGAAUUUAUAGAAGUUCACAAUAUGAAUAAUUAUGAUCUCGAUAAUUAUAAACAUAAACUUUCAAUUAAUAAUAACGAAAUAGACGAUCAAGAGUUUUAUAAUAAUAUGUUAUGUCAUGAAACGUUAAAAGAAAAUGUACUUAACAAUGUAGUGACUAAAAACAUACAGUCCACUGACAUGCGUCCCAACUUGAACCAUAACAGUUGCAAUAAAAACAGUCCAUAUAAUAUGGACAAAAACAUUUGUGUUAACUCCCUUUUUUUUUCAUAUAUAAAAAAAAAGAAACAUUCAGAUGGCAAUACGAUUGGCGUUACAUGUGGUAAUAUGAACAAAUUAAGACAUACCGAUACAUUUACUCCUAAUACUAACGAAAAUACAAAUUACAUUAAUGUAAAAAAUUUAAAAAAGCAAAACAUCAACCGUGAAAAAUGUGUAAGUAAGUCAAAACAAUUUUGGAUAUCACAAUUAGGAUCAUUUACCGAAGAUAGGCCCGAUGAAAAUAGCAAUAUCAGCUGUAGUUAUAGCAAUGGAAAAAAUAACAAAUAUAAUUACAUCAGCCACAGUGGACCUAAUAAAUGUUACUUCCACAAUUGUAAAGAAUUGAACCUUGUGAGUGAUAAAAUAAAUAAUAUUUUUACUAGCUGUGGAAAUAUAAUUUUGUCAAAAACAACAACAAAAAAAAACAAAUGCAACAAAAAAAACAAAUGCAACAAAAAA
rnacentral:lncRNA from 1 species